GGCCAAUGCGCACCGUGAUUGUCAGACCAGGGGAAGGAAGGCAGGGAAGUCCUAGCGAUUAGGCAGAUAAUAAGGGAAAUUCCUUAGCCCUUAGCACAAGGCCUUUUCCCUCCCCCAGAACCUGCUGGGGCCGAAUCGCCCCCGAUUUGCAGCAGAGAUAAGGAGGUCGCAGCCAUGGCGGAUGGACAACAAACAGCGCUUUAUCUGCACCGCCACCCGCAGUCCACGAUCAAUAUGUGGUCAUCGCUGCUCCGUCCUGCAGGAAGGAUCUGUGAGCUGAGACACUCACGUCCCCCCAGUUCCUGCCUCAGGAGUCCCCAGGUCACACAAGCAGGGAUACGGAAGAAAGAGGAAAAACACUCAAACAGGCACUGUGCUGCUCCAUUGCUGCUCUUGGCUUAUGAGAGCCAACUCCCAGCAGUCCCUCUGGAGUACACCAGAGAUACGUGCCGGGCUCCUUUGGAAAGGAGCACGCUGCAAAGCAAGCCAUUGCACUGGUGUCACCAGCUGUGUGACAGUUCAACAUUGUGAACAUCACUCUGAUUAACGUUGUUUCCUCUCACUGAUUGUUGCUACAAUUCGCACUUGGAGCCUCAGAUCAAGGAGUCAAUCAAUCCCAACUGCCCCUGGAAGGGCUUCUUUCAUCUACCUCAAUUACCUGGUUUGAGUUGCUGUCUCAAUCAAGAUAACAGAUAAACUGCACAAGAAUUCUGAUUCCAGUUACCAGUUCAUAUCCUCCACUGCGAUUUGAAUUUGCCUCUGUAUCUGUUUGUGGAUCCCAAGCUGGCCCAUCUCCAGCUGGAAGUAACUCCUCAUUCACAAGGAACAUUGGGUACCCUUAAACCCUGAGGAAUUAAAUCCAUCACAACAUCUCUGACCUGGACUGCCUCUUCAAACUGCCUCCAGAGUGUUCUGUUUCAUAACCAGACUGUUUGUUCUUGCUGCUCUCUCCAAGCCACCCUUCCCUGCUUGCUGGAUCUCAUGGCCUUCCUCUUCAAGAUGUGCCAUGCACAGACACAAUCUUGAUAUCUGAUUCUGGCCCUGUGUGCCGGAACCAUCCCCAUAUCUGAAAGUCAGUGACAGCAGAGCAGCAUCUCUCAUGAUGGAAGUACUCCAUAUUCAUUCUGUGUUUAUAAGCACACAGAGACAUCACGCUACUUUAAUUAUAUGUUUUCCCUCCCCUUCUCUUUCAUCUUUCUGUAACUUUGUCAAAGUUGUAAACACACCUUGGCCUUAAGGCUCCUUCAGCAAGAGCUGCUUUCGAAUCCAUCUACGCAUUUUCCUUCUGCAGAGCUCCGUGUUCUGUACUCCUCCAAAUUGCAGGGCCUUCGUAAAUGCCUUAGAAUAAUACAUGUAUCAUAUAAAGCAUAUAAAAUAAGAGUAGAGUCGUGUGACUGUGUUAGCAAGCAUCUCUUUAAGGAUGAACACAGGCUGCAAUAGCCUUUCACAUGUGUAGUUUGUGAGUGCUGGCAGACCUUCUAUUGUUUUGAUGCUCUGGUUUAUUAAAUACUCAAAUAUCAGCUUGUUUCACAAUGGGUUACCAUUAUUCACAGACCCAUUCUUUGUGCGUUAAGCUGUGAGGCUGACAACUCAUUCAGAGGUUCCUGUCCCAUGCUGAAUUGUGUUUCAAAUCGUUUGUUUUAAUUUACUUUGUGGGCUUUUGGGGUAAAAUGAAUGUAAAACUGAUUCACGGGGAAGACAUUGGAUUUUUCUGCAAUGUAAUCAUUAUCCUUCAAGCAUCCCAGGCUGCUCGGAGAUGCUGCCCCUUUAAACAAGACACAAAAAGAAAUCAACCAUCGUCUGGAUAAUGCCAUUCUCAUCAACAUGCAAGGAGCUUGCUUGUCUGUCACGUCGCCCACAUCUUCUCAAUCACUCCCUUUCAUUUAUCCUAUUAUGCCCCUAUUUUAACUCAUGCUGUGGCUGAUACCCAAUGACAGACAGAAGGAAUCCAGCUGAGCAUCAUCCCUCAUUUGCUUCCCCACUGGAGAUGCACUGUAGGACCUUACCUGAUGGGGAGGAGUGCCCAUGCACCUAAUGGAGCUGAAGUGGGGAACUGGUGGAAAAAAUGUUGUAGGCAAUUGGUGCUGUGCCUUUUCCCCCUUCUCCAUGUGUGAAGAGACAGUAGGUGUUUUGCAAGCAUUUGCAGUUUGGAAGAUGUGAUCGUAAACCCUGAGUAAUGUUUGUGGUUGGUGGGUCUGUGGUAGCAAGUCAAAGCAAGUGCUAAUUACUACGGUUAUUGCUGCUAUUUUAUUAUUUAAUUUCUCUGUACCAGCAUGGCAUUGAAGGGCCCUAACCGGAAGGUACAACCCCACAGGCAGCUCACUAUCCAAAC
ensembl:lncRNA